AGAUCAGAAAUCAGAAGUUAUGACAAAAAGUAUUUUACCAAAUAAGGAAACAGAAAAAGACUCAGUCAUUCGAACAGAUGAAGGAAUAAAAUCAACUUAUAAUUUAGAAAGUAAGCCAAAAAGUACCUAUAUGAUUUUAUUAGCUGUUCUAUUGUGCAUAGCUAUAUUAUAUUCAUCCGUUAUCUUAUUGAUAAUAUUACUAGUAAUUGUAAAAGACUCCAAUAGACGUCCAAAUUGAAACAGACAUGUACUAAUCCUCUAGUAAAAUGCCACAUAGUAGUGAGGAAUUUUGCAGUCCCGAUGUACUCAUCUGUAUUCAACCAGAUACUUCCUCUAGUGUUACAGAAAAUGGUUGACUCCAGCAAUCGUUGAAAUCAAAGGACAGCACUGUGUUACUGAACUUAAGGCACACUGAUUGCUGUACCCACGAAUAUGAGAUCAAGGAAAAGUACUAGGAAGUCAGCAGGAGUGCUUAAGAGAAUAAAGUCUAUGGAUAACAAUAUGCAUCAACUGUCCCGUGACAUUAUUGAUGGAAGUCAGCAAGAGUACUACAGAGGAUAUGGUCUCUGGUUCUACAAUAUACAUCAAACUACCCCGGUACAUUAUCGAUGGAAGUCAGCAAGAGUGCUACAGCUGAUAAUAUAGUCUCUUGUUCUACAAUACUAGUAUACAUCAAACUUUCCCGGUACAUUAUCGAUGACCACGGCAAAUUGGAGUUACUGAUGACCUAAUAUAGUAUAAGGGUAUACGAAAAUAUAUGUUGAUCGACUUAUGGACAUCAUUAGACAAUAUUGUACAAUAAAAUAGUUUUUGUGUUAUUUGUAAGUCGUAUAUUGUAUACAUGGUAGUGUUUUCAUUUCAUGGGGAUAUAUAUGUAACACUCCCAAACGUGUCCUGUCCCCCAAACGUGUCCGAUUCCCCCAAACGUGUCUAUUCUCCCUAAACGUGUCCGUAAUAUCCAAUAUUCCCCAAACGUGUCUGAUUUUAUAACCCCCAAACGUGUCCGAUAAUUGUUAUUCGCCAAAACGUGUCCACUAUUCAACGCCAGGACGUCUCACGUCUUUUAGCGCUAGUACAUGAAUAAAAUCAAUAACGUUUACGGCAAUUCUAUAAUGGGGGACACAGUUGAUGAAAUGAUCAUUUAGAAGUAUAAGUUGGUUCAAUGCCGGUUGUUAUUGCAAAUUUAAUCUGUAACAUAUAAAUCGACUUUUGACUGAAAUUGCUUAUAUUCCAGUUGCAAGUAUUAUGCUCGUUUAGAGCGCACAUACAUGUACAAACAAUUCUAGUUCAGUUGGAUUAAGCGUUUACCAUAGGAUAACA